UACGUAGGGGGCAAGCGUUGUCCGGAAUCAUUGGGCGUAAAGAGCGUGUAGGCGGCCAUGUAGGUCCGGUGUGAAAACUCGAGGCUUAACCUCGAGAUGUCAUCGGAAACCAUUUGGCUAGAAUCCGGAAGAGGCGAGUGGAAUUCCUGGUGUAGCGGUGGAAUGCGCAGAUAUCAGGAGGAACACCAAUAGCGAAGGCAGCUCGCUGGGACGGUAUUGACGCUAAGGCGCGAAAGCGUGGGGAGCAAACAGG
rnacentral:rRNA from 1 species